GCUCUCGUAGCUUAGUGGUCAGAGCAUUGGCGCAUAAAGCCAAAGAGCCCGGGUUCGAUUCCCGGCGGGGGUG
rnacentral:tRNA from 1 species